rnacentral:rRNA from 1 species
AGGGUGUAAACGCUGCAGACUUGGUGUUGGAAGCCCUUUGGGGGCAUUCAGUGCCGGAGAGAAGUUGUUAAGUCUGCUACUUGGGGAGUACGUCCGCAAGGAUGAGACUUAAAGGAAUUGGCGGGGGAGCACCGCAACGGGAGGAGCGUGCGGUUUAAUUGGAUUCAACACCGUAAAACUCACCAGGGAAGACUGUUACAUGAAGGCCGAGAUGAAGACUCUGCUAGAUUUUCAGAGAGGAGGUGCAUGGCGUCAGUGACU